rnacentral:rRNA from 1 species
GUAUAUUUAAGUUGUUGCAGUUAAAAAGCUCGUAGUUGGAUUUCGGAUGGGUGCGACCGGUCCGCCGUUUGGGUGUGCACUGGUUGCGUCCAUCUUGUUGUCGGGGACGCGUUCCUGGCCUUAACUGGCUGGGACGUGGAGUCGGCGAAGUUACUUUGAAAAAAUUAGAGUGUUCAAAGCAGGCCUACGCUCUGAAUACAUUAGCAUGGAAUAACGCGAUAGGACUCUGGUCUUAUUGUGUUGGUCUUCGAGACCGGAGUAAUGAUUAAGAGGGACAGUUGGGGGCAUUCGUAUUUCAUUGUCAGAGGUGAAAUUCUUGGAUUUAUGAAAGACGAACUUCUGCGAAAGCAUUUGCCAAGGAUGUUUUCAUUAAUCAAGAACGAAAGUUGGGGGCUCGAAGACGAUCAGAUACCGUCCUAGUCUUAACUAUAAACCAUGCCGGCUAGAGAUCGGAGGUCGUUCAAUUUGUGACACCUUCAGCAUCUUGAGAGAAAUCAAAGCCUUUGGGUUCCGGGGGGAGUAUGGUCGCAAGGCUGAAACUUAAAG